CCGCCGGCGACCGGCGCACGGGUGAGUAACACGUAUGCAACCUGGCCGUGACAGAUGGAUAACCGGGNGAAAUCCCGCCUAAUACAACAUAAUGCCGGGAGGGGACAUCCCCUGCCGGUCAAAGGGGGCGACCCCGGUCACGGAUGGGCAUGCGGCGCAUUAGGUAGUUGGUGGGGCAACGGCCCACCAAGCCGACGAUGCGUAGGGGUUCUGAGAGGAAGGUCCCCCACAUUGGAACUGAGACACGGUCCAAACUCCUACGGAAGGCAGCAG
rnacentral:rRNA from 1 species